rnacentral:snRNA from 1 species
UCGGUCUCAAUCCUAUGUGGCUG